AAAGUACGGUCCUGCAGAAGAAGCACCGGCUACUACGUGCCAGCAGCCGCGGUAAUACGUAGGGUGCGAGCGUUGUCCGGAAUUAUUGGGCGUAAAGAGCUUGUAGGCGGUUUGUCGCGUCUGCUGUGAAAAUCCGGGGCUCAACCCCGGACUUGCAGUGGGUACGGGCAGACUAGAGUGUGGUAGGGGAGACUGGAAUUCCUGGUGUAGCGGUGAAAUGCGCAGAUAUCAGGAGGAACACCGAUGGCGAAGGCAGGUCUNUGGCCCACUACUGACCCUAAAANNCAAACNCUUGGGGANCNAACAGUAUUAAAUNCCUUGUUAGUCCAGGGNCNAUUU
rnacentral:rRNA from 1 species